CUGAAAUUGAAAGCAGAAAUCUCACACUGCUGGAAGCUUACCAAGAGCAUCUGAACACAACCUGUAUUCCCAAGAUCUUGCUAAUAAAGGGUAAAACUGCAGGAACGGAGACCAUUUGCUCAGACAGUGCCACCUGCUGUUGGGUUUGAGGAAACUGCAGGUCCAGAAAGCCAACUGCACGCUCAGACCAAGUAGCAACAUCAGACACUGUGAAAAAAUGCCUACUGAUACCUAGCUGAACUCCUGUCGGACAACAUCUCCAGACUACUUCGCACCAUCUGACUAGCAGGUAAAAAUUCACAAAAUUCACACUAUAGCCACCUAGACUCUUGUUCACCCCAC